GACGAACGCUGGCGGCGUGCCUAAUACAUGCAAGUCGAACGAACUCUGGUAUUGAUUGGUGCUUGCAUCAUGAUUUACAUUUGAGUGAGUGGCGAACUGGUGAGUAACACGUGGGAAACCUGCCCAGAAGCGGGGGAUAACACCUGGAAACAGAUGCUAAUACCGCAUAACAACUUGGACCGCAUGGUCCGAGUUUGAAAGAUGGCUUCGGCUAUCACUUUUGGAUGGUCCCGCGGCGUAUUAGCUAGAUGGUGGGGUAACGGCUCACCAUGGCAAUGAUACGUAGCCGACCUGAGAGGGUAAUCGGCCACAUUGGGACUGAGACACGGCCCAAACUCCUACGGGAGGCAGCAGUAGGGAAUCUUCCACAAUGGACGAAAGUCUGAUGGAGCAACGCCGCGUGAGUGAAGAAGGGUUUCGGCUCGUAAAACUCUGUUGUUAAAGAAGAACAUAUCUGAGAGUAACUGUCUAGGUAUUGACGGUAUUUAACCAGAAAGCCACGGCUAACUACGUGCCAGCAGCCGCGGUAAUACGUAGGUGGCAAGCGUUGUCCGGAUUUAUUGGGCGUAAAGCGAGCGCAGGCGGUUUUUUAAGUCUGAUGUGAAAGCCUUCGGCUCAACCGAAGAAGUGCAUCGGAAACUGGGAAACUUGAGUGCAGAAGAGGACAGUGGAACUCCAUGUGUAGCGGUGAAAUGCGUAGAUAUAUGGAAGAACACCAGUGGCGAAGGCGGCUGUCUGGUCUGUAACUGACGCUGAGGCUCGAAAGUAUGGGUAGCAAACAGGAUUAGAUACCCUGGUAGUCCAUACCGUAAACGAUGAAUGCUAAGUGUUGGAGGGUUUCCGCCCUUCAGUGCUGCAGCUAACGCAUUAAGCAUUCCGCCUGGGGAGUACGGCCGCAAGGCUGAAACUCAAAGGAAUUGACGGGGGCCCGCACAAGCGGUGGAGCAUGUGGUUUAAUUCGAAGCUACGCGAAGAACCUUACCAGGUCUUGACAUACUAUGCAAAUCUAAGAGAUUAGACGUUCCCUUCGGGGACAUGGAUACAGGUGGUGCAUGGUUGUCGUCAGCUCGUGUCGUGAGAUGUUGGGUUAAGUCCCGCAACGAGCGCAACCCUUAUUAUCAGUUGCCAGCAUUAAGUUGGGCACUCUGGUGAGACUGCCGGUGACAAACCGGAGGAAGGUGGGGAUGACGUCAAAUCAUCAUGCCCCUUAUGACCUGGGCUACACACGUGCUACAAUGGAUGGUACAACGAGUUGCGAACUCGCGAGAGUAAGCUAAUCUCUUAAAGCCAUUCUCAGUUCGGAUUGUAGGCUGCAACUCGCCUACAUGAAGUCGGAAUCGCUAGUAAUCGCGGAUCAGCAUGCCGCGGUGAAUACGUUCCCGGGCCUUGUACACACCGCCCGUCACACCAUGAGAGUUUGUAACACCCAAAGUCGGUGGGGUAACCUUUUAGGAACCAGCCGCCUAAGGUGGGACAGAUGAUUAGGGUG
rnacentral:rRNA from 1 species